rnacentral:lncRNA from 1 species
UUUUUUUAAACAAAUCACAAAAUACAUUUCAACCGCAAAAACAAAUAACCCUGUACAUGUUUUUCAGCACCGACUUUUCAUUCACAUGUAACAAGAGUGGCUUGAAGAUUUCCACAUAGUUGUUGAAGAUUUCCACAUAGUUGUUCAACCCAGCUUGCUGCAGAAAUAUGAGACUAAUCUAGAUUUUUAGGUGAACUAAAGAAGAUAUUAACUUCUUGAAAUUCGAUUAACCCAUCAAAUUUUUAGUAAUUUGAUUAACCUGUCUAAACUUGAUCCGUCAAUACUAAUAAUUUUUUUUAAAUAACAAAACAAUGAUGUUUUAAUAAAAACAUGUAACCGGUGAAAUCUAAUAAUCUAACACCACCUUCUCUUCUCUCGGUCGAGUCAGUUUGACAAAUAUGAAUUCCUAUUCUACAAUGAUUUUCCUAUCAAAUAUGAAGUAUACUGGAGAAGAGAUCAGGGUUAUCUUGGUUUAGUUGUUGCUUGCCUCGAUAAAACUUUCAUCUACUAGUUGCAGAUCUGCCUCUCCAACAUUUUCUAACCCUUUCUCUCUGAACAACAACAAUCCCCAUACUUCAUAUUGACAGCAACGUUGGAGAACUGCUGCUCAAAAUCCAGUUUGUUCGAAAGGAGGAUCUCACUUUUAUGUGCCCGAGUCCCACACGUUCAUGUGAGGCUGUGAGCAGAUUUCCCAAGUCCCAACACCAUUUGCUAAUCAAGUGUAUUAAGGCUUAAUCAUGUCAGAAAGCAAACUCAUGGAGUUGGCCUUCGGUUAAGGUAAAAAACACACACCACUUUCGAGUUCAAUCCGAACAUUGCUAGAUGCUAGUUAGCCCUAGUCCGUUUCUUACCUGCUUGCAUUUACCUGAACGAUUAGUCAGUGGUUGAUUAUUAGUAUUCGGAAACUCAAUACCCGUCAUGACAGUAGUAAUCUGACCACCGUAGAAGAAAAAUACUAUCAGAUACUGCAUUUGAUUCUCCCCCUUGUAAGCAGGAAAAAAGAAAAAAUGGAGAGAACGAGACAGUAAAAACACAUUUACUAAUUGUAACCCUUUUUAUUUCCAGACCUGCAGCAAACCAUUGAAAAGUGAGACAAAGUAACAGAAGCUUUUGGCUCAAUUAAAAUCCUUGAACCAUCAGCAAUUUGUACUCCUAUUGGUUGUUAGAACCCUUCUCUCUUCCAUCUCUCGGAAUC